rnacentral:sRNA from 1 species
CGCGCAGUCACCGCGGAGCAGACGCGGAGGCUGGUGGCCCCUGGGCGAGAUGCCGUACGCUAACCAGCCUACCGUGCGGAUCACGGAGCUCACUGACGAGAAUGUCAAGUUCAUCAUCGAGAACACCGACCUGGCGGUGGCCAAUUCGAUUCGGAGGGUCUUCAUCGCUGAGGUGCCCAUAAUAGCCAUUGACUGGGUUCAGAUUGAUGCCAAUUCCUCAGUCCUUCAUGAUGAAUUCAUCGCGCACAGGCUUGGAUUAAUUCCCCUCAUUAGUGAUGACAUUGUGGACAAGCUGCAGUACUCUCGGGACUGCACAUGUGAGGAGUUCUGCCCCGAGUGCUCGGUGGAGUUCACCCUCGAUGUGCGGUGCAAUGAAGACCAGACGCGACAUGUCACGUCUCGAGACCUCAUCUCCAACAGCCCCCGGGUCAUUCCGGUGACAUCCCGGAACCGAGAUAAUGACCCCAAUGACUACGUGGAGCAGGAUGGUAAGUCUUCCUGACCUGUCACCGUGUGGGCCAGCGGGAAGGAGGGACCAGACACAGCCUCUCGUGCUGCCUGGUCUCCUCGAAAAUUGGCUUUAGACCAUUUUUCCAGAUGUGUGUGGUCUUGCAGUGGCACUCCAAGUCAGAAUUUGGAGAACCAUGUCUCUCCUGGCCCUUGACUGGCUUGUGCCUCUCCCUGCAGACAUCCUCAUCGUCAAGUUGAGAAAGGGCCAGGAGCUGAGACUUCGAGCCUAUGCCAAAAAGGGCUUUGGCAAGGAGCAUGCCAAGUGGAACCCUACUGCAGGGGUGGCUUUUGAAUACGAUCCAGACAAUGCCCUGAGGCACACAGUGUACCCCAAGCCCGAGGAAUGGUAUGUUCCCCUUAGGAGUGAUGGCAGGCAUUUGGGGUGGGUGUGGCAUAGAAAUGGCUGUUGUUGACUGAGAUGUGGCAGGCUCUCUAGGAACUUGGGUGCCCCAAAAGGAGCAGUGGCAACCUUGUGCUGACCUGUGUUUGACCUCAGGCCAAAGAGUGAGUACUCGGAGCUGGAUGAGGAUGAGUCGCAGGCUCCCUAUGACCCCAACGGCAAGCCAGAAAGGUAAGAGCCUGGUCGGACAUGGGAAGGUGAAGUGUGGAAGAAGGGAUGGUUUUG